rnacentral:rRNA from 1 species
GAAGCAGAGCUUGCUCUGUGGAUCAGUGGCGAACGGGUGAGUAACACGUGAGCAAUCUGCCCCUGACUCUGGGAUAAGCGCUGGAAACGGCGUCUAAUACCGGAUACGAGCUGCGACCGCAUGGUCAGUAGCUGGAAAGAAUUUCGGUCAGGGAUGAGCUCGCGGCCUAUCAGCUUGUUGGUGAGGUAAUGGCUCACCAAGGCGUCGACGGGUAGCCGGCCUGAGAGGGUGACCGGCCACACUGGGACUGAGACACGGCCCAGACUCCUACGGGAGGCAGCAGUGGGGAAUAUUGCACAAUGGGCGCAAGCCUGAUGCAGCAACGCCGCGUGAGGGAUGACGGCCUUCGGGUUGUAAACCUCUUUUAGCAGGGAAGAAGCGAAAGUGACGGUACCUGCAGAAAAAGCGCCGGCUAACUACGUGCCAGCAGCCGCGGUAAUACGUAGGGCGCAAGCGUUAUCCGGAAUUAUUGGGCGUAAAGAGCUCGUAGGCGGUCUGUCGCGUCUGCUGUGAAAACCCGAGGCUCAACCUCGGGCCUGCAGUGGGUACGGGCAGACUAGAGUGCGGUAGGGGAGAUUGGAAUUCCUGGUGUAGCGGUGGAAUGCGCAGAUAUCAGGAGGAACACCGAUGGCGAAGGCAGAUCUCUGGGCCGUAACUGACGCUGAGGAGCGAAAGGGUGGGGAGCAAACAGGCUUAGAUACCCUGGUAGUCCACCCCGUAAACGUUGGGAACUAGUUGUGGGGUCCAUUCCACGGAUUCCGUGACGCAGCUAACGCAUUAAGUUCCCCGCCUGGGGAGUACGGCCGCAAGGCUAAAACUCAAAGGAAUUGACGGGGACCCGCACAAGCGGCGGAGCAUGCGGAUUAAUUUCGAU